GAUGAACGCUGGCGGCGUGCCUAAUACAUGCAAGUCGAGCGAACGGACGAGAAGCUUGCUUCUCUGAUGUUAGCGGCGGACGGGUGAGUAACACGUGGAUAACCUACCUAUAAGACUGGGAUAACUUCGGGAAACCGUAGCUAAUACCGGAUAAUAUUUUGAACCGCAUGGUUCAAAAGUGAAAGACGGUCUUGCUGUCACUUAUAGAUGGAUCCGCGCUGCAUUAGCUAGUUGGUAAGGUAACGGCUUACCAAGGCAACGAUGCAUAGCCGACCUGAGAGGGUGAUCGGCCACACUGGAACUGAGACACGGUCCAGACUCCUACGUGAGGCAGCAGUAGGGAAUCUUCCGCAAAGGGCGAAAGCCUGACGGAGCAACGCCGCGUGAGUGAUGAAGGUCUUCGGAUCGUAAAACUCUGUUAUUAGGGAAGAACAUAUGUGUAAGUAACUGUGCACAUCUUGACGGUACCUAAUCAGAAAGCCACGGCUAACUACGUG
rnacentral:rRNA from 1 species